AACGGAAAUUUUACGGCGUGCCC
rnacentral:siRNA from 1 species